AGAUGAGAAGACCCUGUGGAACCUAAAAAAAAUCAGUGGCCACUGCACACAAGCUCAAGCCCACCAGGUUCACUAUCCCCUCCCUGCCCCAAAAUGCUGGCCUGCAUUCUUUGGUUGGGGUGACAUUGGAGAAAAACAAAUCCUCCAAAAAUAAGACAACACCUGUUAAUCAAGAGCAACCCCUCAAAGUACUAGCAGCAACCAGACCCAAUACAGUUGGCCAAUGGACCAAGCCACUCAGGGACAACAGCGCAAUCUCCUCCAAGAGCCCAUACAGACAAGGAAAUUUACAACCUCAAUGUUGGAUCAGGACAUCCUAAAGGUGCAGCUGCUAUUAAGGGUUCAUUUGUUCAAUGAUUACCAGUCCUACAUGAGCUGAAUUCAGACUGGAGCAAUCCAGGUCAGUUUCUGUCU
rnacentral:ncRNA from 1 species